rnacentral:lncRNA from 1 species
AAACUCAAUCUAAUAACUGAAGAAGUCGUGGCUAGCCGCAGGAGGUCGGUGAUGGAUGGUCGAUCUUCAGGCUCAAGCUGCUGGUAGCACGAUCAUCGAUUGAGAUCAAGCUAUUGGCGGCAAAGAAACUGAAGGAGAUUGGUGAGAGGUUGGGUGCAUAGUGAAGAAAGGAAAAGGAGAUAUUGUUGGACUAGGGAAUCUGGGAAAAUGGUGUUGCAUGUUGAAGUUUCGAUGGAGAUUGCUACUGAAAUGUUUAUGGUGGAGUGAAAGUGGUGGAUAAUAAUGGCUGUGGGGCUUGCUGUCGGAUAAAGUUCAAGAAAC